rnacentral:rRNA from 1 species
GUAUCAUGGCUCAGAUUGAACGCUGGCGGCAGGCCUAACACAUGCAAGUCGAACGGUAACAGGAAGAAGCUUGCUUCUUUGCUGACGAGUGGCGGACGGGUGAGUAAUGUCUGGGAAACUGCCUGAUGGAGGGGGAUAACGUACUGGAAACGGUAGCUAAUACCGCAUAACGUCGCAAGACCAAAGAGGGGGACCUUCGGGCCUCUUGCCAUCGGAUGUGCCCAGAUGGGAUUAGCUAGUAGGUGGGG